UCGUGUGCUCCACCGCACUGGUGGCGACAUCAUGUAUUCGCCGGAGAUGGCAAGUAAAAUAGUGGUCCUGUGCGCUAUACUCCACAAUAUCGCGGUAAGGAGUAGCGUAGAGCUUCCUCAGACAGAGGAAUUGCCUGAUGAGGAGCCAGGGGUUGUCCGACACUUCGGUGGGGGGAGUGUUACAAGGAGGGGGAGCCAAGUCAGGGCAAGCAUUGUUGCUGAAUUUUUCAGCUGAAAGACCACACAAACUGAGGACGACCACAACGGCAAGCACCACAUGAUGCACCAGCUCAGCACCCUUCCCCUUCUCACUCCCCCUCCACUUCCCAGUCCCCCUCCCCUUCUCACUCCCCCUCCCCUUCUCACUCCCCCUCCACUUCCCAGUCCCCCUCCCCUUCUCACUCCCCCUCCCCUUCUCACUCCCCCUCAGCUUCCCAAUCCCCCUCAGCUUCCCAAUCACCCUCAGCUUCACAAUCCACCUCAGCUUCCCAGUCACCCUCAGCUUCCCAGGCCCCCUCAGCUUCCCAGGCCCACUCCACUUUCCACUCCCCUUCUCAGCCAACCUCUCCUUCUCUUUCUGUGACCCCUUCUCCUCCUUCCCAUACCCCUUCUCCUUCUACUUCCAACUCACCUUCUCAGCCCCCCUCACCCUCUAUUGGCCUAACAUUUUCACCGCCCCCCUCGCCCUCUCAAUCAGACCCACCCUCUGAAAUUACAUCCCCAAUCCAACCUCCUUCCCCCAUCCAGCCUCCUUCCCCCAUCCAGCCUCCUUCCCCCAUCCAGCCUCCUUCCCCAAUCCCUCCUCCUUCCCCCAUCCAGCCGCCUUCCCCCAUCCAGCCGCCAUCCCCACCCAGUGAAUGGGCAGAGGAAGCCCCUGAAGACAGUUCAGGGAGUCUUCAUGUUGCCGAGGAAAAUGUUGCAGUUGGAGAUCCCACAAGUUUUGGAGGCAUUCUUUACACCAUGCGCCAACACCUGCAAGGAUUAAUGCAUUGUGUUGACAAUUUGCAAAAAUAUG